rnacentral:rRNA from 1 species
UACGGGGGGGGCAAGCGUUGUUCGGAAUUACUGGGCGUAAAGGGCUCGUAGGUGGCCAACUAAGUCAGACGUGAAAUCCCCCGGCUUAACCGGGGAACUGCGUCUGAUACUGGAUGGCUUGAGUUUGGGAGAGGGAUGCGGAAUUCCAGGUGUAGCGGUGAAAUGCGUAGAUAUCUGGAGGAACACCGGUGGCGAAGGCGGCAUCCUGGACCAACACUGACGCUGAGUGAGCGAAAGCCAGGGGAGCAAACGGG